rnacentral:tRNA from 1 species
UAUGUUGCCUGAGUCUUUUCUUAGGCCAUAGUCCUGUCACCUUAGGUCGAUCGGUACCUCAAGUUCAUAGGUCAAAAAUUAAGAGAAUUCAUUUCACUUUUUUUGCAGUAACUUCAGUUCCUAAACUUGUCUAGGUCACACCCAGCAAGGGUACUCCUGGGCCAUUAGCUCAGGUGGUUAGAGCGCACCCCUGAUAAGGGUGAGGUCCCUGGUUCAAGUCCAGGAUGGCCCAUUCGAUGUUUGGGGGUAUAGCUCAGUUGGUAGAGCGCCUGCUUUGCAAGCAGGAUGUCAGCGGUUCGAGUCCGCUUACCUCCACUGAUCGAUCUCCUGAUGACGAUAUCCUAAGGAAAUUGGCUUUGUUAGAUGUGACUUAGAGGUUGGUUAACUGAACGAACCUAGCUUCUUAUCAUUCCUACUAAAUUACGAGUAAUUUUAGAUAAGGUUGAUACGACGCUGGGCUCACUCCAUUUCGAAAGAAUUAAGGAGGAGUUUCAACAGAACCUUGACAACUGCAUAGGUGAGUCUGGAAAGAAUAAAGCAUCUCAUGGAUGCAUUAUUUGUUUUUCUUAGAUCAAUAAAUAAUGUCUAAUUCUGAGUUAGAGCCAGAACUCUA